rnacentral:rRNA from 1 species
UNCNGGGUACUCGAGUGGCGAACGGGUGAGNNNNNNNNNGUGAUCUGCCCUGCACUUUGGGAUAAGCCUGNNNNNNNNGGUCUAAUACCGAAUAGGACCGCGCUCUUCAUGGGGUGUGGUGGAAAGCUUUUGCGGUGUGGGAUGGGCCCGCGGCCUAUCAGCUUGUUGGUGGGGUAAUGGCCUACCAAGGCGACGACGGGUAGCCGGCCUGAGAGGGUGACCGGCCACACUGGGACUGAGAUACGGCCCAGACUCCUACGGGAGGCAGCAGUGGGGAAUAUUGCACAAUGGGCGCAAGCCUGAUGCAGCGACGCCGCGUGAGGGAUGACGGCCUUCGGGUUGUAAACCUCUUUCAAUAGGGACGAAGCGCAAGUGACGGUACCUAUAGAAGAAGGCCCGGCCAACUACGUGCCAGCAGCCGCGGUAAUACGUAGGGUCCGAGCGUUGUCCGGAAUUACUGGGCGUAAAGAGCUCGUAGGUGGUUUGUCGCGUUGUUCGUGAAAACUCACAGCUUAACUGUGGGCGUGCGGGCGAUACGGGCAGACUAGAGUACUGCAGGGGAGACUGGAAUUCCUGGUGUAGCGGUGGAAUGCGCAGAUAUCAGGAGGAACACCGGUGGCGAAGGCGGGUCUCUGGGCAGUAACUGACGCUGAGGAGCGAAAGCGUGGGGAGCGAACAGGAUUAGAUACCCUGGUAGUCCACGCCGUAAACGGUGGGUACUAGGUGUGGGUUUCCUUCCUUGGGGAUCCGUGCCGUAGCUAACGCAUUAAGUACCCCGCCUGGGGAGUACGGCCGCAAGGCUAAAACUCAAAGGAAUUGACGGGGGCCCGCACAAGCGGCGGAGCAUGUGGAUUAAUUCGAUGCAACGCGAAGAACCUUACCUGGGUUUGACAUGCACAGGACGCCAGUAGAGAUAUUGGUUCCCUUGUGGCCUGUGUGCAGGUGGUGCAUGGGCUGUCGUCAGCUCGUGUCGUGAGAUGUUGGGUUAAGUUCCCCGCAACGAGCGCAACCCUUGUCUCCAUGUUGCCAGCACGUUAUGGUGGGGAYUCGUGAGAGAMUGCCSGGGUCAACUCGGAGGAAGGUGGGGAUGACGUCAAGUCAUCAUGCCCCUUAUGUCCAGGGCUUCACACAUGCUACAAUGGCCGGUACAAAGGGCUGCGAUGCCGUGAGGUGGAGCGAAUCCUUUCAAAGCCGGUCUCAGUUCGGAUCGGGGUCUGCAACUCGACCCCGUGAAGUCGGAGUCGCUAGUAAUCGCAGAUCAGCAACGCUGCGGUGAAUACGUUCCCGGGCCUUGUACACACCGCCCGUCACGUCAUGAAAGUCGGUAACACCCGAAGCCGGUG